rnacentral:sRNA from 1 species
ACCUGUUAAAGUGUAGAUAAUGUAUUUAGCUUCGAAACAAGGUCCAUCGUUCUAAUAAGAAUGACUCCUUACUUUUCAAGUUUCAAAUGCAAAAUUUAUCGCGCUAUGCGCAACGGAGGUUUCAUUCUUAUGGAACAAGGUACUGUUAAAUGGUUUAAUGGAGACAAAGGUUACGGUUUUAUCACUUUAGAAGACGGCAAGGACGUUUUUGUUCACUUCUCAGCUAUCAAUGCUGACGGUUACAAGACCCUUGAAGAAGGUCAAAAAGUUACCCUUGACGUUGAAGAUAGCGAUCGUGGCCCACAAGCUGCUAACGUUACUGUUGUUGAAUAAUUAAAUCAAAAUAAAUAAAGACCCCUGUGAGGGUCUUUUAU